AUUGUUUUUACAAUGUUGUUUACAUAUGAAAUGAUAUUGCGUAUCUAAGGUCAUGGUGAAUUCAUUUGUUAAAGAAUUUUUAAGAAUGUAAAGAUUGAUAAUUCCUUUUACAUUAAGACAUCAGUCAAAAAGGUUCUCGCAGGAUCUCAAUAGCUAUACCAAACCUAUAUUUAUUGGCUAUUGACUGGAUACAAAGACAUACAACAUCAGACAAGAAAAGGGGUAUCUAGUGGACCAUGUUUAACCAGCUAGAAGACCUUGAUUUUGCUAAUGACAUUGCCAUAUUAUCAACAACAAGUGAACACCUCCAGGAGAAGACCAACAUACUUAAUAACUAUGCAAAGUAAACUGGACUGAAUGUUAAUGCCAAGAAGACCAAGGUAAUGUCAAUAAACACUAGAAAUUCAACACAAAUCACAAUCAGUGAUCUGCCAGUGGACAGUGUUGAAGAUUUCACUUACCUUGACAGCAUCAUAAGUAAAGAAAAUGGGGCAGGAAAGGAUAUAAAGGCAAUACUAUCUAAGGCACGUGCAACAUUUGCAAGACUUCAUACAAUCUGGAAGUCCAACCAGUACAGUUUAAGGACCAAACUACGAAUAUACAACAGCAAUGUAAAAUCUGUCCUACUGUAUGGUUCAGAAACUUGGCGUGUUUUAGUUAGUGACCUUCAAAAAGUAGAUGCAUUCCGUACUAGCUGCCUAAGAAAGAUCAACAGAAUAACAGAGCCUUUUGGAGAAAUGCUAAGAGCAUAACAGCAGAAAUCAAACAACGAAGAUUUUGAUGGUUAGGUCAUGUAAUGAGAAUGCCACAACACCGCACACCUAAAACAGCUCUAUGUUGGACACCACUAGGAAAAUAGAAACCAGGGAGACCUAGAAUCACCUGGCGAAGAACUGUUACAGCAGAAUUGGAAGCAAUGGGAUACACCUGGGGCCAAGCCCAGUACAUGGCUAAGGACAGAGAGAAGUGGAGGCAGUUUGGUGUGGCCUUAUGUCCCACUGGGGAUGAAGAGGAUAAGUAAAAAUAUAUGAAAGAUCACUCACCUUGACAUGAUGAAUAGGAAAAAAAGACUAGUAGAAACGAUGUCAACGUUCUAUACGCCAUUGCUCUACAGGUGCAGGUAAACUAUCAGAGAUAACUCGGAAUGGACAACACAGAUUGUUAAGAAAAAUAGGCUUCUGAAGGGAUUUUCUGGAUUAAACUACCAAAGCCAACUACUUGAAUGCUAGGACAGAGGAUGUAUAAGUACUGAAACACGUGAAGAUAUAUUUAUCAACAGUGAAUUUCAGACGAAGGAUAUAUAUUUUUAACUAUGGUGUGCAGGAAAUUGAUAAUUAUCUAUAUUAAUUAUACAACUAUUUAGACAAAAGCAUUGCCGUAUAGAAUUCUUGACAAUUUCUGAAAGUUGAAAAGGGGUUAGAAUGCAAGACCCUGACUUUAGACCUAUUUUGUAGGAAAUCCGUGAGAUACCCUUUCUUGUGUUUGUAGCCAUGCAGACCGUAGGAAACCAACUUUUAUUUACAUCUAGUGCCGGGACAUAAGUAUUGGCAUAGUUUUUUUUUUAACAAAUUCUUAAAGUUAAGCUGAGGUUGAGGGUUGGAAUGUCAGACAUAAACUUAGGACCUAUCUUGAAGGAAAUUCAUCAGAAACCUCAACUGAAUGUUUCGGUCAGGCAGACCGUUGGUCCCAAACUUUUGUUUGCACCUAGCGUAGAAUGAAUAUUUUUGAAAAACUCUAAAUGUUGAGAUGUGGUUGCGUAGAAAUGUCAGACCCCACCUGUGGACAUAUUUUGUAAGACGUCCGUGAGAUACCCAUCUGGGUUUUGUUAAGCAGACUUUAAUUUGUCGACAAUUCUCUGCGGAAAUCUUUUAUCCGCAAAAGCUGCAUAUGCAAGGCAGUGGCCUAAGGUUUCUUGAACCAAAAGGCACUGGUGAGACAACUGACGGAAGGUCUAAACCAUAGGUCCAACAUUGGGUUAGACAUUAUUGACACCCUAUCCAGCCUAAUCUUAAUUCUCCAAAAAAUCCCUGCGGCAAUACUUUUAUCCGCGAAUUAACGAACAACAUGCAUGGGGGGGCGCAAAUUUAACCAAACUUGGCUUAAAUCAUCCUUAGGGUAUCUAGUUUAAAAAUUGUAUCCGAUGACCCCGGCCAUCGACCAAGAUGGCCGCCAUGGCUAAAAAUAGAACAUGGAGGUGAAAUGCAGUUUUUUGCUUAUAUCUCUGAAACUAAAGCAUUUAAAGCAAAAAUGUUCAUCAGGUCAAGAUCUAUCUGCCUUGAAAUUUUCAGACCCAUCAGACAACCGGUUGAUGGGUUGCUGCCCCUGAAUUGGUAAUUUUAAGGAAAUUUUGCAGCUUUUGGUUAUUAUUAUGAAUAUUAUAAUAGAUAGAGAUAAACUGUAAACAAUAAAAUGUUCAGCAAAGUAAGAUCUACAAAUAAGUCAAACAUGACAAAAAUUGUCAAUUGACCUAAUAAGGAGUUAUUGCCCUUUAUAGUCAACUUUUCACAUUUUUUCGUAAAUUUUUGUUAUCUUUUACAAAAACCUUCUCCACUGAAACCACUGAGCCAAAUACAACCAAACUUGGCCUAAAUUAUCCUUAGGGUAUUUAGUUUAAAAACUGUAUCCGAUGACCCCGCUCAUCAACCAAGAUGGCUGCCAUGGCUAAAAAUAGAACAUAAGGGUAAAAUGCAGUUGUUGGCUUAUAUCUCUGAAACUAAAGCAUUUAGAGCAAAUCUAACAUAGGUAAAAAUGUUCAUCAGGUCAAGAUCUAGCUGCCUUGAAAUUUUCAGACGUAUCAGACAACCCGUUGUAUGGUUGCUGCCCCUGAAUUGGCAAUUUUAAGGAAAUUUUGUAGUUUUUGGUUUUUAUCUUAAAUAUUAUAAUAGAAAGAGAUAAACUGUAAACAGCAAAAUUGUUCAGCAAAGUAAUUUCUACAAAUAAGUCAACAUGAUCAAAAUUGUCAAUUGACCCCAUAAGGAGUUAUUGCCCUUUAAAGUAUAUUUUUCACAAUUUUUCGUAAAUUUUUGUAAUCUUCUCCUCUGAAACUACUGGGCAAAAUUAAACCAAAUUUGGCCUAAAUCAUUCUUAGGAUAUCUAGUUUAAAAAAUGUAUCCGACGACCCCGCCCAUCAACCAAGAUGGCCGCCAUGGCUAAAUAUAGAACAUGGGGGGGGGGGGGUUAAAAUGCAGUUUGACUUUAUCUCUGAAACUAAAGCAUUUAGAGCAAAUCUGACGUGGGGGUAAAAAUGUUCAUCAGAUCAAGAUCUAUCUGCCCUGAAAUUUUCAGACGUAUCAGACAACGAUUGUUGGGUUGCUGCCCUUGAAUUGGUAAUUUUAAGGAAAUUUUGCAGUUUUUGGUUUUUAUCUUAAAUAUUAUUAUAGAUAGAGAUAAACUGUAAACAGCAAUAAUGUUCAGCAAAGUACGAUUUACAAAUAAGUCAAAUGACCAAAAUUGUCAAUUGACCCCAUAAGGAGUUAUUGCUCUUUAUAGUCAAUUUUUUCGUAAAUUUUUGUAAUCUUUUGCAAAAAUCUUCUCCACUUAAUCUACUGGGCCAAAUAGAAUUAAACUUAGCCACAAUUUUUAAUAGGGUAUCUUGUUUGAAAACUGUAUCCGAUGACCCUGUUAUCCAACCAACAUGGCCGCCAUGGCUAAAAAUAGAACGUUGGGGUUUACUAUGAAAGUCUAAGGGAAAAUUGUAAAAAAAUACAAUUUCAAAUGGUCAAAACUAAUUUAAAUAAUGAAAUAAUGAUAAGGGGUCUUCAGUAACUAUUGUAAGACUACAAUGGGAUGACCUGCUUUUAAUUUAACUACUGGGCCGAAUUAAACCAAACUUGGCCUCAAUCAUUAUUAGAGUAUAUGAUACUAUUAAUUAUGAUUUUAACCUUAUUUUACAUAAUUUCUAAAACAACAGUCGAUACAGGUGAGCGACACAGGUUCUUUAGAGCCUCUAGUAUGUAGAUUAGACCGUUGGGUUUCCUGUUUGAAUGGUUUAACAUUAGUCAUUUUUGGGGCCUUUUAUAGCUUGCUGUUCGGUGUGAGCCAAGGCUCCGUGUUGAAGGCCGUACUCUGACCUAUAAUGGUUUACUUUUUACAAAUUACGAGUUGGAUGGAGAGUUGUCUCAUUGGCACUCAUACCACAUCUUCUUAUAUCCAUUAAAGUUCGUUUCCAAUAUCUAACGACUUCUUUAAAACUUAAACAUAGUUUUGUUGAAUAAAAAUAUUCUCGAAAAUUACAUAAACAAAUUCGGUUAAUGUAUGACAAAUAACAGUAUUAAUAUUAUUUGCAUCAGAUUAAAUGACAUUAUUUACAGCAUUUAAAUAGGUAAGCAUUCUAUCAUAUAUAAUCUACUUCAUUUUUCUAUAAAUAUUAUUUUUUUCGUCACCUUGAACAACAGAUUUUUGGAUAUUAGUAAUAAAGUUUUGUCGUUUCUUUCA